GAGUUUUCGUCAAAGCCGACCUCCUCCCCGGCAAUGACGAAUACGGUCGGCCUUCACCUCCUCCCGAGGGUCGACCCCAAAAACGACACCCGCCGGACCUCCUCCCCCGGCGGGUGUUGUUA
rfam:Mesorhizobium sp. LNHC252B00 scaffold0003, whole genome shotgun sequence.